rnacentral:rRNA from 1 species
GACGAACGCUGGCGGCGUGCCUAAUACAUGCAAGUAGAACGCUGAAGGAGGAGCUUACUUCUCUGGAUGAGUUGCGAACGGGUGAGUAACGCGUAGGUAACCUGCCUGGUAGCGGGGGAUAACUAUUGGAAACGAUAGCUAAUACCGCAUAAGAGUAGAUGUUGCAUGACAUUUACUUAAAAGGUGCAAUUGCACCACUACCAGAUGGACCUGCGUUGUAUUAGCUAGUUGGUGGGGUAACGGCUUACCAAGGCGACGAUACAUAGCCGACCUGGGAGGGUGAUCGGCCACACUUGGACUGAGACACGGCCCAGACUCCUACGGGAGGCAGCAGUAGGGAAUCUUCGGCAAUGGACGGAAGUCUGACCGAGCAACGCCGCGUGAGUGAAGAAGGUUUUCGGAUCGUAAAGCUCUGUUGUAAGAGAAGAACGAGUGUGAGAGUGGAAAGUUCACACUGUGACGGUAUCUUACCGGAAAGGGACGGCUAACUACGUGCCAGCCGCCGCCGUAA